ensembl:lncRNA
GAAAAAAAUGAAACAAUAAAACAGGCUUUGUUUGCUCCGUAGAACGGGAAACUCAUUCGGAUGUCAUUAACAGUACAGCACUGUGCCUGCAUUUUGUAGGCACAUUAUGCACACCGCGGCGACACGUUCACGGAAGGAGGCGGCGCACGGCUCAGACACAGACGCAAACAGUAGUACAAGCAAAAAUAGCAGUCCCACAGGGUCACUACUGCGCAUUGCACUAUAGUGCAGGCUGAUGGAUGGAAGUUUGAUUGGAGGUAGAUAUCAGUCACGAGAGGCUGAUCUAGUGUUGUGAUUCGAUAGUUCAGAUUUCCUACUUCCUUUUCAAAGACUGCAUCUGAAAGCGCCAAUCGCAUAAGCGAGAGAAGUUGUUUGUUUUCACGGGAAAUAACUUUCAGUACCUAAUUAAUUAGUCAGGCUUUAUACUGAGGCUCAGUCAUUUACAGUAAAUACCAGCGCCUUUGGACAAGUGUCGGAUCAUCAGCACUAACAGGAAAUGUCUACAUCUCUCUGCUGUUUCCUGUCUGUGGGCCUCCUCGUGUUUGUCUCUGCAGACCAGAAAACCAUCACAGCUGAGUCUGGACAGAAUGUCACUCUGCCAUGUCGAGCUCGAAACAACAGCAAGAUCCUAACUGUAGAGUGGCACCGACCUGACCUGCAGCCAAAAUAUGUUCUUUUAUUUCGGGAUGGAAACAUUGAUCCAGACAACCAGCAUCAAUCUUUUAAGAACCGGGUGGAUCUGCAGGACAGAAAGAUGAAGGAUGGAAACGUGUCUUUGAUUCUGAAGAAUGUGACGAUUAAUGACACUGGAACAUACGAGUGUCAAGUCUUCCUGGAAGAAACACGCUCCUUGCAGUCCAUCACAAACAUCCCCCUGAAAGUUGAUCCUCCAGGUCAGCGAGGAGGAUCUGUUGGACUGAAAGGCAGUGUGCUAGUUUUAGGUCUGCUUUUUGUUGUUGCUUUUGCUUUUGCAUUUUAGAGAAUAACAGCGACAGGAUCCGUACCAGCCUCCUGCUGAACCACAACAGCUUUGAAACCUCUCAGAACUUUUUCCAUCUGAACUCUGACCCAUGAAUUGAUGAUGAACAUCGAACACGUCCAGAGUUGCUUUGAUGUCAAAUUUCUCUGACUAUCAUCAAACCUGUUCAGACUGUGUCAGUCUCUGUGCUGUCUAUCAGAGACUCUGAACUACAGUGUUUGUGCAUCUUCAGUUUCCAUAGGAUUUGUUUACAAUAAGAAGGAAUUUUGUAAAUCAAUCAAUGAAUUCACUGUAUGAUACAAAAUCAUUAUCCUAAUAGUAUAGUAGCUUGUAGGUUUUCCGUUCCUCUCAGCCUCCAAUUUGUUGUUCUUUAUACAACCUGAAUUCCAGAAAAGUUGUGACGUUUCAUAAAUUUGAACAACACGAAAGCUAAGACUUUCACUUGAUAUGAGCCAAUAACUUAUUCACAACAGAACGUAAUUAACAUAAAUGUUUAAACUGAGAAAUUUUACAACUAUGAAUGCCAGUGUUCGGCAGCCUCGCCUCUGUCAGUGCGCCCCAGGGUGGCUGUGGCCACAAUGUAGCUGCCAUCACCAGUGUGUCAAUGUGUGUGUGAAUGGGUGGAUGACUGGAUAUGUAAAGCGCUUUGGGGUCCUUAGGGACUAGUAAAGCGCUAUAUAAAUACAGGCCAUUUACCAUCUGCUACCCUUCAGAUGAUGUUUAGUUCAGGGAAGGCCGUUUGUAUUUGCCAAUCUUUCACCUAUAGAGAACAUUACAGACGCAUAAUUAAUUAAAUGCACAAACUCUUCGGCAGAUGAAAACCUAUAUCAGGCAAGAAUUGGACUGAAUUUCCAAACCAAAACUCCAGAAAGUCAUAACUUCAAUGCUCAGACAUCUUCACACUGGUUUGAAAAGAAGAGGAGAUGCUACACAAACAGGCCCCUGUUUCAACUACUCUGAGACCUGGAGACCUGCAUCUGAUUUGAAAUGAGCUCAUUUAGUGCCUGAAAGUAUAAAAUCUCAGAUUAAACAUUCAUGUUAUCAAAGUCAGCUUUAUUGGCAAAAACCAUAUGCUCAGAGCACACAGAGGAAUUUCAAAUUGCAAUGCUCCCACAGCCCCCAGCCCUCGAGAUAAAAAGAUAGAAAUACAACAAUCUUAUGUACAACACAAUGCAAUAUAAUACAAAACAAUCUUACAUAAACAAAAGUGUCCAACACAAUCAGAGUGCUAUUCAUGUUCUGUUGUGAAUGAAAUAUUGGCUCAUGCUUUUUGAAAGUCUUAGUUUUCAUUUUGUUCAAAUUAAAUUACUUAAUUAAUUAUUAAAUUACUUCUCUGGAAUUCGAGUUGUAUUUUUGCUUUUUACAUUCAAAUAUGAAUAAACUUUUUUUUUUUUUAUCUGUAAUUGUAUGUUUUUAUAAGAAGUCAUAUUUUGCUAAUAAAGAACUGUUAAAGCUUUCUUCUUUUUUUUUCUCCGUUUCUGGUGAUUAGGGCAGGGUUGGUAUCUAUUUAGAGUGUUGUUUUAGCUCAGAGGUCGGCAACCUGCCCUCUUCUAGCUUAGGCUGCCGGAAGCUUUCGGGGUAAAAAAAAUAUAUAUAACUAAGACAAUUAUAAACAAACUAUUUUUAUAUUUAUUUAUUCUAUACGCAGUUUUAUUAAAUGUAUUAAUAAAACAAAAAUUGCAAAUAUCCACCCCGUCUACCACACCUCUCGCUCUCCCGUGUUUUCCCUGCCAGUGGCUAAUAAUGAGAGAGCUCCAGCAAGCUAACCGUGGAUUAAUCCGAAGAACAAAACUCUUGGGGGAAACUGGUGUGUAAUUCUCUGUUUGGACUGAUUCAUUUGCAUUCACCACUUAUUACGCUGACUUGCCCGAUGUUUAAUAACAUUUUUUUAAUUGCAGUGUCGCGAGACGUUUCCAAGUUUGCUGAAAAGCACCAAGCUGGAGACAAACAAAAAAAAGAGGGACUGGAACUGCUAAGCAGACCAAAUGCUUUUUUUAGACCUUGUUCAAUAGAAAUGCAAUUAUUGCUGCUAGUUUUCUGGUAGCCCAUGAGAUAGUAAGACACAACAUCCAUUCACCGAUGGAGACUACAUAAAAACAUAAACAAUUCAUAAAAUUAUCAGUGCACCUACUCUCACAUCAAAUCUCUUGCUGCAAGACAAAGUCUGGUGGCUGUCAAAGGGAGAGGGGCUAAAACAAUUUGCUGCGAGCGUGAAACAUGUGAAAACUUG